CCUACGGGUGGCAGCAGUGGGGAAUAUUGCGCAAUGGGCGAAAGCCUGACGCAGCGACGCCGCGUGAGGGAUGAAGGUCUUCGGAUCGUAAACCUCUGUCAGCAGGGAAGAACGGUCACUGUGCUAAUCAGCAGUGAAUUGACGGUACCUGCAAAGGAAGCACCGGCUAACUCCGUGCCAGCAGCCGCGGUAAUACGGAGGGUGCGAGCGUUAAUCGGAAUUACUGGGCGUAAGGCCGUCGUAGGCGGUAUGGCAAGUCAAGGGGGAAAUCCCCGCGCGCAACGUGGGAACUGCCUUUGAAACUGGCAAACUGGAGUGUGUGAGAGGAGAGUGGAAUUCCAGGUGUAGGAGUGAAAUCCGUAGAUAUCUGGAGGAACAUCAGUGGCGAAGGCGACUAUCUGGCACAUAACUGACGCUGAGGAGCGAAAGCGUGGGUAGCAAACAGGAUUAGAUACCCGGGUAGUC
rnacentral:rRNA from 1 species